rnacentral:rRNA from 1 species
GAACUUUCCAGAGAUGGAUUGGUGCCUUCGGGAACUCUGAGACAGGUGCUGCAUGGCUGUCGUCAGCUCGUGUUGUGAAAUGUUGGGUUAAGUCCCGCAACGAGCGCAACCCUUAUCCUUUGUUGCCAGCGGUUAGGCCGGGAACUCAAAGGAGACUGCCAGUGAUAAACUGGAGGAAGGUGGGGAUGACGUCAAGUCAUCAUGGCCCUUACGAGUAGGGCUACACACGUGCUGCAAUGGCGCAUACAAAGAGAAGCGACCUCGCGAGAGCAAGCGGACCUCAUAAAGUGCGUCGUAGUCCGGAUUGGAGUCUGCAACUCGACUCCAUGAAGUCGGAAUCGCUAGUAAUCGUGGAUCAGAAUGCCACGGUGAAUACGUUCCCGGGCCUUGUACACACCGCCCGUCACACCAUGGGAGUGGGUUGCAAAAGAAGUAGGUAGCUUAACCUUCGGGAGGGCGCUUACCACUUUGUGAUUCAUGACUGGGGUGAAGUCGUAACAAGGUAAGCGUAGUGCU